rnacentral:lncRNA from 1 species
CCGCACUAAAAAAGACUAUUAUUCGUUCGCUCCAGAUUUUUCAUUUUUAUCCUGCUUACAAUUUAUCCUUCGUCUCGUUUUGCGAUGGCCUCCGCCGAGAUCGCGGAGAUUGAGUUCCGAUAGUUCGGCGGUGAGCUCCUCUGGACCACCGACAAUGAGGCACUGGAGAGGGCCUUUUCCUCCUCCUGUGAAAGAUAUCGAAUCGAAGAUCAUCGAGGACGGUCAGAUCGGUAGGUCGAGGUGCUUCGGAUUCGUUACCAGCAACAUGCGAAUGCGAUCCAAGGAGGCCAGAACCUUGAUUUGAGGGUUAGUGUUCUUCUCCAAUGUUAGAGCGGGUGUUCUUUUGCGAUCUUUGUGUUAGCUAAUUUUAUAUUGCGAUGUUAGGGUUAGCUAGCGCUCUUUUUCCAUUGCGAUAUUAGCGUUGUUUUGCGAUUGCUAGGGUUAGAUAACUUUCUUUUGUGGUUGCAAUGGUAGGGUUAAUUAGCGUUCUUUGCGAUUGCAGUGUUAGGGUUAGCUAGUGUUCUUUUGCGAUUGCGAUGUUAGGGCGAGCUAGUGUUCUUCCGUGAUGUUAGUGUUUUUCUGUAUAAAUGAUAGAGGGGCUUUGCAUGUAUCAGGUGUGGCUUUUUGCAAUGUUGUUUAUAAACCGUGGCCCAUAGACUUAAGUGAAAAUAAUGUCGUUUGUUGCAGACAUCUGGUCUUUUUGGUUGUGGUGCCCUUGCUCAUGUUGGUGUGAUGGACUUGCAGUGGUUCCCACGAAUGUACCAUAGGUUAGUUUACAUAUUUUUGCAACAUGGUUUGAUGUAUAAACAUUUGGCUUAUCCUUCCUUCUCCUCCCAUCUAUUUCUGGUAAUCACUUUUUCAUUAUGUCAGGUGACCAUGGGAACAACAUGGGAGGCAACCUCACCACUAGCUUUCCAGAUCACGAUGACCUAUUUGCACCAUUACACCUUUUGUAGUUAUUAAAGGUUGGUCUCUAUCAACAUAGUCAAUAUAUUUAUUGAAUGGGAAUAUAAAUGCUAGUUUUGAUGCUCAACAUGUGCCAAGACUACCAUAUUCAGUUCUGGUGUCAAUGGUUGAACAUUCAUAAUAUUUAGUACAGUAAUUCUAUGUAUGAUAUUAUAUCUCAUAGUAACUGCUGUUAUGGAUCUCUUAUCAUUUUCAUUACCCAUUGACAAUUACCUUUUUUGGUUACGUAACAAAAUUGAAAAGUACUGUUUAUCUUUAAUUUGAUUGUAUUGCUGAAGAUUAAGAGGUUUUCAUUAUUAUGUUGAUAAAAAGGUUAUAAAUAUAAAAUAUUUUUCAUUGCCACAUGUUGUAUUCUGAUUCACCAAUUGUAGCAUUUUUGGUGGUCAUUCCCACCCCAAAUAUUCUUCCAAAAAGUUUUCUACGUCUUGUAUUUUAACUAAAUAAAAAAUCUCUUCCUAUUGGCUUAUUUUAUUGGUGUGACAAGUUUGACGUCCUGUCAUAUUUCGUAGUUGGUAUACAUAAAUAUUAAUAUGAUAAGACAUCCUAUCAGCUUCGUUAAAUACUUCAUUCUUUGAAGAUAUCAAAAACUUCAAUUUUUUGUUUAUAUGAUAAAACACUCCAAUUUAUUCCUUUAAGAUUUCGUAUUAACCCUGCAACCUUUAGAAUGUUCAACUGCCUAAAGUUUGUUAAGGCCCAUCUUAUAUUUGUGAAAUUUCUGCUUAUCACCACUAUGGUUUUGACUUUUUCUGCUUUACAAGUGGAGUCAGAACACGAGCACUACUGUGAUUUUAAUGGAAGAGUAGCUUCCAAAGUUCACAUUUAUGGAGCUAAACUAUUAAAUUUUCAGUAUGAAAAGAUUUUACCCUUAAUGUUAUUUAUUCAUAUAUGUUUUACGUAUGAAAGAUCUGCCAUAAUGUUAUGAAAUUUUGAUAUGACCCCUUUAUUAAGCAAACCAUUUAAAUGGUUAUAAAAUUAUUCAUUAGAUAUAUUUUGGGGUUAGGGUUCCGUCUUGUAGUACAAAAUGGGCAAUGGUGUAUGUCCUUUGUGAUCUGUGGGGAUCCUUUUCUCUUCAUCUUCUUCUUCUAGGUUCUGUUCGUGGCGAUAUUAGCAGUCUUUAUAAUGUGGCAAACAUAUGCUUCAGGAAUCAGAACAGAUUUUGAAUUGCAAACGAAUGAGAAUUUAUGGGUUAUAGGCAUUCACAGUGAUAUGUUGUUUCAUUUCUUCACAUAAUUUUAACUAGUCAUUGAUGGAACUGAUAUCAAGGCUUUCUUUUGCAGAAUUCGCACUGCCAGACAAAUAAUUUAACUAGUGGUUUCUCACUGAAUCAGGUAAAUUGCUUGUUCCUCUAUUAUUUUUGGCCUGCUUUCAAUUGUGACGUUUGAAAACUGAGUUUCGCCUGCCAGUGCUGCAGACUUUGGGACGAAGAAGCCGAGUCCGUGGAACUUCAGUCAAAUUUCUUCUUUCUUUCUAGGGAAAAUGUUCUGUAAUGUUUCUCUUUCUUCGUUUGUCAUGGUUCAAUGUAUCGGACCAACAAGGCAAUGGGCUUAAAUACUAGGGGUUCCAAUUUUAAACGGGCCCCUUUUUAUUCCAACAUCUAAUAUUGCGAGGAGGCUAGAAUGCAAGAAUUCUAUAGUGAGGGCCUUAUAUAAGGUCUCUAGGUGAGCCCCUAUCUCUUAAUCGUUGAAUCAAAUUGGUUAACUUGAUCCAACGAUUAAGGGAUAAGGGCUUGGCUAAGGGCCAUAUAUAAGGCACUCACUAUAGAAUGACUCGGCUAGAAUGAGGGGUUAUUAUGAGCAGGCCCUUAAUAGCCGUUCGAUUCAGUGCAGAGUUAAUAUUGGAUUGUUAGAUUGGAUCCCCCCAACAUAGCCGACUCAUUUUAUAGUGAGGGCCUUAUAUAUGGUCUUAGGUGAGGUCAUAUCUUUUAAUCAUUAGAUCUAACAGCUAAUCAAUUUGAUUCAACGGUUUAGAGAUAGGGUUUUAU